UAAUAUCAUGUCUUUAUUUGUCAUUAAGUUUCCCUACAAUCUUUUGCUGAGUAUACUUUUUAUGUCCUGCAGGAGACCCUGUAUCACAUUGUGUCUUCAUUAGUAUACUUCACAUCUGCCCUUUAUCUCCUCAUUUACCUUACCGAAAAUAAGCGCUAUGUUCAGGAUCAGGUAGCCAAGACGGCUGCAAGUGCUUUGGGUCUCGUAAACACAGCACUUUAUAUUCUCUCCAGUAUCUACUCAGUGAGAACCUUCAGGCGGGGAUGAAGUGGAGAGAAACUAGAAUAUGGAACAACAGAAAUUGUGCAACAUUUUCGGUUUUCUUUGGGAAUCCUUAAGCUUGUAAUUACUUGUAGGGUUAUGUAGAGAAGACAAAAAUCUGCAUUUUGAAAUCUAGAAUAAGAUGAAAACAGGAUUAUCAUUAAAUUUUCAUGAAGUACAUCUGUCUUUUUUGUUGAGAAAUGUUGUGCAGAUUUGGCAGAUAUGGAUGAAAUUUGCAUUACAUUUCUCUUUCUUUCUUUCUUUUCUUCUUUUCUAUUUUCUAAAUGCAUACAAAUCAAACAAAAUUUAAAGCCAUUUUUAUAAGUUGGAGGUAUGAUCUCUUUCCUUAUUUACAAAUUCAAUAAAAAAAUAUUGAAAAAUGAAUGUCUAAUUGAUGUCUUGUAGCAUUUUCUUGGUGCCUUACUUUGGUGUCUUGGUCACCUGCGAGUAGUGACAUAUUUAUGCCCAAAGAGAAGUCCAGUGUUACAGAUACGUAACACAAUAAUAUUUGUAAAAUGGAAUGAGAAAGACAAAGAAUACAAAAAGAGAUACCCUCAAUAUAUAUUUUUUUUUUACCAUGAGAGAAGUUUUAAUUCAAAACACAGUAACUGUAUUUCUUGUCUAUUCUUAUGGCAGUGUUUCACUCAGGAGUCAAUUAACUUGAGGGUUCUUCAUGAAAUACUUAAUAUAAAUGUGUAUUAUAAAGCAAUUUCAAUGCAUAAAACCUAUGAUAGAUAUGCUUAUGGUAUUAGUCAAGUAGUGAUAUGCUCAUAGCUGUCAGUGAUUUUUCUUUUAGUCACAGUCUUCUUAUAGUAAAGUUGAGGCUUUAAGAUAUAUCCUGCAUACUUACCAUGAAUAAGGCACAUUUAUAUAUAUUUUAUAUUAUUUAUACUGUAUGAACCUUUAUAUUACUCAUUCAUGGUGAAGAAGACAGAAAUAUUGUCAUGUAAUGUGAUCGUAGAUUGUGAAAUAGAGUGUAUUUGUUUAUAUGCCAUCAUAUAAGCAGAUAUAGUUACUAUAAAUAAUUUCCAAAAGAUGAAGUGCAAAAAUUUAUCAAUUCUAAGAACUAACUCUAAUUACAAACAUAACAGAUUUUUUAUGUCACCAUGAAUAGUGCAAAGGAACAAAAUAUUAGAGAUGUUCAUGUAUUUUGAGCUCUGAUAUUUUGAUGUACCUUGAGAAAUAAAAAGAAAAAAAAGGUACACAUAACCAUAACAAAUUCACUUGUUUGAUCAAAUUUUGAAUGAAAGAUUUUUAUGUAUUUCUUUUGACCAUUAUUCCCUCCCAAACAUUUUUUCAUGAUGGCCAGUUUUUGUUUUUUUCCAUAUCCGCUCUAUUGGCUUCAUACAUGUGUAUACUCUACUAUGUGUUCAUAUAAUUUCUCUUGUAGUCUCAUUUAUUUAUACCAUAUGUUUUUGUGAUAUCUAUAAAAAAAAGUAAUGGAAAAAUAUAGAGAGAGAAAUGGAAUUAGUUAUUUAGUCUAUUAUGAUAAGGUACAGUUAUGCCCAAUCAGUUGUUUUAAUUUUUCUUUGGAAUUUCAUAAUUUAUGAUUGAAAAAUUCCUUGAAUAGUCAUACAGUAAAUAACUGAUUAUUAAUAUUAUUAAUGUACAACAUAUUUUUUUCUGAAUAUUACUUGAUUGUGUUCAUCUUCACUGACUUAACUGGAUGUCUAAAGUAAUUUUUUUAUAUAUUAGAUGUAGCUGGCUUAAUGUUCAUACUCCGUGCCUCAGUCGUCUCUUAAAAUGCAAAGAGCAAUAUGUUUGUAACAUUUUUAUGUACUUGAUACUGAAGAUUUAAAGAAAUAAUUUUUUUGUGGACUGUAA